rnacentral:rRNA from 1 species
GACGAACGCUGGCGGCGUGCCUAAUACAUGCAAGUAGAACGCUGAAGGAGGAGCUUGCUUUCUGGAUGAGUUGCGAACGGGUGAGUAACGCGUAGGUAACCUGCCUGGUAGCGGGGGAUAACUAUUGGAAACGAUAGCUAAUACCGCAUAACAGUAGAUGUUGCAUGACAUUUGCUUAAAAGGUGCAAUUGCAUCACUACCAGAUGGACCUGCGUUGUAUUAGCUAGUUGGUGGGGUAACGGCUCACCAAGGCGACGAUACAUAGCCGACCUGAGAGGGUGAUCGGCCACACUGGGACUGAGACACGGCCCAGACUCCUACGGGAGGCAGCAGUAGGGAAUCUUCGGCAAUGGACGGAAGUCUGACCGAGCAACGCCGCGUGAGUGAAGAAGGUUUUCGGAUCGUAAAGCUCUGUUGUAAGAGAAGAACCGAGUGUGAGAGUGGAAAAGUUCACACUGUGACCGG